rnacentral:rRNA from 1 species
GACGAACGCUGGCGGCGUGCCUAAUACAUGCAAGUAGAACGCUGAAGGAGGAGCUUGCUUCUCUGGAUGAGUUGCGAACGGGUGAGUAACGCGUAGGUAACCUGCCUGGUAGCGGGGGAUAACUAUUGGAAACGAUAGCUAAUACCGCAUAAUAGCAGUUGUUGCAUGAUAACUGUUUGAAAGGUGCAAUUGCACCACUACCAGAUGGACCUGCGUUGUAUUAGCUAGUUGGUGGGGUAACGGCUCACCAAGGCGACGAUACAUAGCCGACCUGAGAGGGUGAUCGGCCACACUGGGACUGAGACACGGCCCAGACUCCUACGGGAGGCAGCAGUAGGGAAUCGUCGGCAAUGGACGGAAGUCUGACCGAGCAACGCCGCGUGAGUGAAGAAGGUUGUCGGAUCGUAAAGCUCUGUUGUAAGAGAAGAACGAGUGUGAGGGUGGAAAGUUCACACUGUGACGGUAGCUUACCAGAAAGGGACGGCUAACUACGUG